AGAGUUUGAUCCUGGCUCAGAAUCAACGCUGGCGGCGUGCCUAACACAUGCAAGUCGAACGAGAAAGGGUAGCAAUACCUGAGUAAAGUGGCGACCGGGUGAGUAACACGUGACUAACCUACCCUAGAGUGGGGAAUAACCUCGGGAAACCGGGGCUAAUACCGCAUAAAGUCCAGAGGCUGAAAUGCCAUUGGACCAAAGGAGUAAUUCGCUCAAGGAGGGGGUCGCGGUUGAUUAGCUAGUUGGUGGGGUAAUGGCCCACCAAGGCGAUGAUCAAUAGCCGGCCUGAGAGGGCGCACGGCCACACUGGAACUGAAACACGGUCCAGACUCCUACGGGAGGCAGCAGUGGGGAAUUUUGCGCAAUGGGGGAAACCCUGACGCAGCAACGCCGCGUGAAGGAUGAAGGUCUUUGGAUUGUAAACUUCUUUCGUCCGGGAAGAUAAUGACGGUACCGGAAUAAGAAGCCCCGGCUAACUUCGUGCCAGCAGCCGCGGUAAUACGAAGGGGGCGAGCGUUGUUCGGAAUUAUUGGGCGUAAAGGGAGCGUAGGCGGUUCGAUAAGUCACUUGUGAAAUCUCUGGGCUCAACCCAGAGUCUGCAAGCGAAACUGUCGGGCUUGAGUAUGGGAGAGGUGAGUGGAAUUCCUGGUGUAGCGGUGAAAUGCGUAGAUAUCAGGAGGAACACCUGUGGCGAAAGGGCUCACUGGACCAUUACUGACGCUGAUGCUCGAAAGCUAGGGGAGCAAACAGGAUUAGAUACCCUAGUAGUCC
rnacentral:rRNA from 1 species